AUUGAACGCUGGCGGCAGUCCUAACACAUGCAAGUCGAGCGAGUGGCGGACGGGUGAGUAAUAUAUCGGAACGUGCCCAGUAGCGGGGGAUAACUACUCGAAAGAGUGGCUAAUACCGCAUAAUAUUGGAGCGGGCGAUAUCGGAUUAGCUAGUUGGUGGGGUAAAGGCUAACCAAGGCAACGAUCCGUAACUGGUUUGAGAGGUCGACCGGCCACACUGGGACUGAGACAGGGACCAGACUCCUACGGGAGGCAGCAGUGGGGAAUGUUGGACAAUGGGGGAAACCCUGAUCCAGCCAUCCCGCGUGUAUGAGAAGGCCUUCGGGUUGUAAAGUACUUUUGGCAGAGAAGCGGUAUCUGCAGAAUAAGCACCGGCUAACUACGUGCCAGCAGCCGCGGUAAUUC
rnacentral:rRNA from 1 species